CGAGAACUCUGGUUCUUCAAAUGAAGAUAGCUAUGUUGAACGCUUGCUCGAUUGUAUUAGCAAUGGUAAACUGUCAGAGGACAGGAGGACUGCUAUGCUCGAGCUUCAAUCUGUUGUGGCAGAAAGCUCUAAUGCACAGCUAGCAUUUGGAGCAAUGGGCUUUCCUGUUAUGAUGGGCAUAUUAAAGGAAGAACGCGAUGAUGUUGAAAUGGUU